GCGCCCAUAGCUCAGUUGGUAGAGCAAAUGACUCUUAAUCAUUGGGUCCUGGGUUCGAGUCCCCGUGGGCGCACCA
rnacentral:tRNA from 1 species